UAAAAUCGAUUGUGGGUGCAGUGGAAUAAAUGAAACAAGACACAAAAUUUACGAGGUUCCUCUACAGUCAGUGUGACUGGAGUACGUCCUCGGGGCAGCAGUGGUGCUUUCAUUAUAAUUUGAAAUAAUAGGAGUACAAAGAUAACUCUCUCUAUUAUCUCCUCUCAUCUUCCUCUAUUCUCUCUCUUCCUCUUCCUUCCUUCCUCUCUUUCUUUCCCGUGAACUCCCCUCACUUCAUUCCUCUUCUUCCUUUGUAUAAACAAAAGAAAGCACUAUUCACUUUACAAAUUUUCCACAAAUGAAUAGUGAAAAUACUGUGCAUAAAUAGUAACAAACUAUUCAUGUGGACCAUCCACGCACUAUUUACAACACUCCCCCUUGGAUGGCCACAAGUCUUCGAUUGACUCGUUAAAAUCUUGAUCUGUCUUGGAUGCUCUCCUUGAUGAGUAUCUCCCCCUGAUUUCAAAUCAUUUAGGUUGAUCGUUGAUCGUUCUGCUUUAGUCUCUUAGUAAGAAGAGUUGCUGAAAGAGGUGCUUUACUUGUUGUUAACUUUCCACAGGCUUGUUCUUGAACUAGGCUAGAGGACUUUCUGCUAGACUUGCAUCCAAAGGUCUGAAUUUACUCCUUUGAUCUGGAGCAGAUUUGAUUCAAAAGUGGUGGACACUUGAUCUUGAAUCAGACUUGUGAUUUCUUCAAGGACCUCAGAGGCUUGAUCUUGAAUAAAGUUGUACCGUGAAGAGCUUCACGUGGCAAGUGAUCUUCGACUUUGUCGGGGAUGAGUCAACACGUGUUUGUUGCGCUUGUCUCCACAUGCUGCAAUGUAUCAUUUUCACUUUCCUUACUUGCUCCCCUUGCUUAAGUAGUAUUUUCCUUGGUUUUCCCCCAUGCAUGUGUGGCAUAUUCUCCUGCAGUAUUUGCCUUAUGAUGUAGGAGUGGAAUGCAACCCUUGCAUUUGGAUGGUUCAUCACUUCUUGGUGACCGGAGACCCAGUUCUAACAACAAUUGAAGAUGACUACUCGAGAGCUAGGUAAGCAAUCGGGAAAGGUUCCAAGCAGUUUGUUCCUUACCUGGAGUUUAAGUGGAGGUUCCGACAUACUGCUUUCUUUAUCCUUGUCUUUGCAUGUAAGAACAAUGACAAAGGAAAGGACAGAGAGAUUGCAUGAUAUGAGAUAAUCUUGCUCUAGUCCCUGAAGAUAUGUGAUAAUCUUGCUCUGGUGUGACAUGUUUGAAGAGGUAUUCUCGGAAAGGAAGAAAACUGAGUAUUUCGAGAUGCUAUGUUGAAGAUGCAUUCUCGGAGAUGAGGAAGAGUUAGGUAUUCUUGCAGUGUUGCAGGUCUGCCUUGUUAUGGAGAACAGAGGUCGACAUAUAUAGAGAUUUCUCAAUAGCAAGUGGUGGUGCUGUGCUUUUACUCUUGUCAGCAACUGUGGUGUAAAUAGAACAGUAAGAUUUACGCGUUUUCAACUUUGUAAGAGAUCUUUGACAAAAUUGCACGCGACAUCUGAAAAAGCUGGGAUUACGUCUGAAAAAUGCCAACGAACUUUAUUCAGGAAAAUCUGGCUUUUGAAAUUCGGAGAGCGGUGCCUCUUCGAUCUUUGAACGAGUGGCUCUGCUGCCUCUUCUUUUACAGAGACAUCAAUUGUGUUCAAGAGUAUGCUCAGAAAGUUGCUGCCUGUAGAAAUUUCCUCUAUCUUGCACUUCUGAAAUUUUAUUUGACCUCUGUUUUUCCUUCAUCAUUUCUGAAAAAUGAUUUGCCCAUCUAACAUUUGCUUAGAUUUGAGUCUUAGGAGUGAUACAGACGAGCAGCGUCAUGAUAAUAUAUGGCGCCCGUCUUUCUUAUCUUCUAAUGGUCCUCUUACGGUUGGGGACUCUGUGAUGAAGAAUAACAUAACCGCUACUGUGGUAGCUAGGAAUCUUCUCACUCCAAGGGAUAACAAGAUUCAGAACGGUCUGAAGAGUCGACCGUUCAAGACUCCUUGGCUCUCAGUGUUCAGUGUGCUGGCUCUGUGUCCAAUAUGGGCCAACGCUUACUUGCUCAAACUCGCCAAAUUGAAUUAUUGAUGGCGGAGGUGGCAAGUCUUAAACAAGAGAUUAGAGGGCUCAAGCACGAGAAUAGGGUGUUACACGUGCUUGCAAAUAGUUACUCUACGAGCAUGAAAAGAAAGCUCGUCCAACUGCAGGAAUCCGAAAGUCGGAUUCAAAGUGAUCACCAGAGGUUCGUUGCUAGAUUCCGAAAGCAACUGAUGCCUUCCCCUUCUGGUGUUUUGCUAAGUACUGGGGUGCCACAUGAUCAAUCUCCAGUGCCUCCCCCUUCUGGGGUACUUCUGAGUACUGAGGCUUCACAUGAGCAACCUUUGUGAAAGCUCAUCCUGUUUGUUUGUUUUAACUCAUGUGUAUGUAUAUAUCUGUAAUUUCUUGGAGAUAUUAAUAAAUAAGCUUUAUUUCAUUCAAUGUAUUGUGCCAAAUACAAUAAAGCAUAUACUUCACUAAGAUGUGGUACUUCUGGACCAAAUAUUAAUUUAUCUUUACCCUCAUGAAGAUAAAUGAUUAUUCUUAGUGUCUUCAUCAUAUGAGUAUUCAACUCAUAAUCUUCAAUCCAUAUGGUUCUUUUAAUAUCAUAAAUAUCAUGGAUAAGAUUCGUGUUGGUAGAUUGUUCGAUCUGCAGCUCGAGACAAUAAUUCCUUCAACACUUUAUAAUUUUUUCUAGACUCUUCAGGAGUCCCAAUUUAAUAUCAUCAACUCUUCAAGAGUUCUAAUUUUAAUGUCAUUGACUCUUGCAAGAGAUUUUAGUAUGUUGCAACAAUAUUAUAAUGAUAGUACUCACUAAGGCAAUUUUAUAUCAUUCAUUGGUAUUGAGUACAUAUUUUAUGUUUUACCCUUCAGGGGCUUACUUCAAGCAGUUUGAAUCCUUUAGGGAUUUUCUACACUUCAUGACACAUUUUCCUUUGGAAUUUAUACAGAGCAAUUUGCUCCCAUGUAUACUUGAGGGAUUUACUUAUGGAGAUAUGAUGUGAGCGACUCACAACCCUUCGUAUAUAAUUCUCCAUUUAUAUGAACUCGUUUACAAGAGUUCAAUUAGUAAUCUUGUGUCAUAUCAUGUGAGUGUAUUUCACUGUAUUACAAAUGCCCAUAUGUAACCUCCUUGGUUUAACAUCUUUUGGCUAUUUGUAUUUUAUUCAAAUAUAUAGGUCCAUUUUUCCACGUUCUUACAACAUUGUAAUGGAAUUGCCUUUCUCCAUUUUUGGCCAAUAAUUUUCCUUUUGUCGACAAACAAAAGAACGUGACUCAAUAUUAACACAGCUCAUUGAUGAAUUUAGUAGCUACUUGUAAAAACCAAAAUUAUCAUUGGUUAUCAUCAAUCCGUGAUCCCAUAUUCUCAUAUGCAUGCGCAUGCAUAAAAGCUUUUUUUUAUUUCUUUUGGAUAUCCAUUGCCUCUUCAAGGGCAUUAUACUAUCUCUUCCAGGAUAAUCGUAAUUUAGAGAAUUCGGAUCAUAACCUCAUUUUGAGCGUUAUAGAGCUUGGAUUUUAAUCUCCACUUCUAGAAGUUGAGUCAUUGGAACCUAUACGUCUAUCAUGCUACAUGCAAGAGACAUCAAUAUUCCCAUGUCUGCGGAUUGUCCUUUCUAGAACGUAUUAUCCAUGCAGCGACUGUCAAGCUUCUGGCAUGCAACAAUUAUGCUUCAGGAAUGCAAUAGUUCAGUAGUGCCAUAUUCCUUUUUUUUUUUUCGAAUGACUGAACCUUUUGAGUCUAAAGGUCUGCCACGCUUCAGACGUGCAACAGAUAAAUCAUUUACUGCCUCAUUAUAUUGUCCAAUGAGGACAUCAAUUCUUGUAGGCACAUUUGCAGUAAGUAUAUGUGAUUUCAUCACUUUCGUUGCAUCAUUCAAUUAUUCCAAUUUCAUUUUCUCAUUGUUUGUUUCGUGAAUCAAAAUAAGACAAAUUAUCUUCGUUCUUCUGGAACGGUCUUUUCUCAUCAUUCUUCUGGAAUGAUAUUUUCUCAUCGUUCUUCUGGAACGAUGUUAUUUUCUCCCCCUAAUGGCAGGAAAACUGUCUUAUCAAAAUCAUAGUCCGCAAAUCAUGCGGUAGACAUAUCCCCAGUCAAGGGUUCCAAAUAUUGAAUGAUAGAUGGUGUUCAACAUCAAUGCCUAAUCUACGAUGAUGCCUCAUUUCAGUAUGUUGUGGCAGUCUUACAGGCACAUAGAUAACACAACCAAAAACUCGUAAAUGUAUAAUGUUUGGCUAGUUCCCAAACACGAGUUGUACUGAGCAAUAUUGAUGGUUGGAAACUGGUCUCAUCCGAACUUAAUAAUGCGUCAUGUAAAAUGACAUGUCCCCAUGUAGAAAACUGGUAAUUUCGUUUUCAUGAGCAGAGCGCGGGUAAUCAAUUUCAUCCGCUUAAUAAAUGCUUCUGCUAAACCAUUUUAAGUAUGGACAUAAGGAACUUCUGGUCCUUAUUAAAUAGUCUAUGGACUGAGACUUUUAUGACCUUUAUUAUAAUUAAGUUGAGGCACUGUGGCACUUCAAACUUAAGGUACUCAUCAAGGAAUUUCAUGUCCUGAUCUUCAUGAUCAAGGGACUUCAUGCCUGAUCUUUUUGUAUGAUGGAACUUCGGGUCCAAUCAUUUUAUAUGAUGAGGAUCAAGAAACUGCAGGUUCUGAUCUGAUCAAGGAACUUUGGGUCUUAUAUAUACUCAUUGUAACAAAAGAUAAGUACAAUAAAUAAAUUAAAGCAAUAGGCGGUAAUUCCAGCCAUAGUAAAUAAAUUGAACAAUAAAUAAAUUAAAGCUUGUGACAAGGGCUUUAAUUCAGCACCAUUCACAUAAAUCAAAACUUAAAGCAGUAGGCGGUAAAACCGUCCAUGAUAAAUAAAUUGUUUUAAAGUAAAUAGAACUUGUGACAUGGGCUUUAAACCAACACCAUGCACAUAAAUAUCAAAGCUUUAAAGCAAAGGGUAAUAAUUCUACCCACUGUAAAUAAAUUGCUUUAAAUAAAUAGAACUUGUGAAAGUGUUUUAAGCCAACACCAUUCACAUAAAUAAAUCAAAACUUAAAGCAGUAGGCGGUAAAACCGUCCAUGAUAAAUAAAUUGUUUUAAAGUAAAUAGAACUUGUGACAUGGGCUUUAAACCAACACCCAUGCACAUAAAUAUCAAAGCUUUAAAGCAAAGGGUAAUAAUUCUACCCACUGUAAAUAAAUUGCUUUAAAUAAAUAGAACUUGUGAAAGUGUUUUAAGCCAACACCAUUCACAUAAAUAAAUCAAAACUUAAAGCAGUAGGCGGUAAAACCGUCCAUGAUAAAUAAAUUGUUUUAAAGUAAAUAGAACUUGUGACAUGGGCUUUAAACCAACACCAUGCACAUAAAUAUCAAAGCUUUAAAGCAAAGGGUAAUAAUUCUACCCACUAUAAAUAAAUUGCUUUAAAUAAAUAGAACUUGUGAAAGUGUUUUAAGCCAACACCAUUCACAUAAAUAAAUAUAUACAUAUUUUCUUCUUUCUUUUCAGAUGGUGUAACACCAUCCAAAAACCUUUACCUUUAUUUUAUUUUAUUAUUUUCUUAUUCAAUCACAUGCUACAACAUUCCAACAACUUUUGUUUUUAUUUCUUUUAUUUUACAUGGUGCAACGCACCUUUCUAAAUCAUUGGCCCCAUUUCCCCUUUUCUUUGUCUAUCUCUACCAGUCUCGAAACCUAGUACCAGCUGGGUUGUUGUGGGAGUUACACAAAACCAAUUCAAUCCAAAAAGGCUACCAGAGACUGGCGUUGUUCUUGCAUGGCCCAAAGAACAUGGCAUCGCAAAGCAAGAACCUCUCCAUAGAGACAUAGAUGACAGUGAGGUUGACGAAGGCAUAAGAGAGGGAGGCCUGUGUGGGGUUAGUCAUGCCAUCACCAUCUCAGACAACUGAGGAUUCAUGGAGGUCCUCGAGAUCCAUUGACACGAUCUGGGUUUCCAAAUCUAAUGAGAUUCUUCUGGAUCUCUGGAAACCAGUUGUCAGGUACGAGUUUUCUUAUCUCGUGACGACUUUAGGUCGUUGGAAAUUUCAAUUCGCACCGGAAUUCGGUGGGGCGCUUCUGGCGCGGUGGGAGAAACAAAAAAUGGACAUACCUUUGCUUGUUUUGCUGCACCUUUGUUUGUCUGUAAGAUCUCUCCAUCUUUCUUGUCCACGAGAGAAAAAUAGAUUGCAGGUCUAGCAGGGAUAAGGAUUAGCACAUCAAUAGUUAGAGUGAUAAAAGAAAAAGUGAUAAAAGAAAGGUUGAUGGAUUUUUGUGACAAGAUGAUCUUCCCUGUUUGACAUGUCUGGCUUGCCGUCUCUACUCUGUGAGAUUUUAGCUGACCGAGGUGAGAGGUAGAUAAUGCUUCACCAGAUUUAUGAUAUUGUGCUUUCCACUGACAUGAGAGAUUCUCGUGCUGAUAACGUGUUGUAAAAUCGACUGUGGGUGCAGUGGAAUAAAUGAAACAAGACACAAAAUUUACGAGAUUCCUCUACAGUCAGUGUGACUGGAGUACGUCCUCGGGGCAGCAGUGGUGCUUUCAUUAUAAUUUGAAAUAAUAGGAGUACAAAGAUAACUCUCUCUAUUAUCUCCUCUCAUCUUCCUCUAUUCUCUCUCUUCCUCUUCCUUCCUUCCUCUCUUUCUUUCCCGUGAACUCCCCUCACUUCAUUCCUCUUCUUCCUUUAUAUAAACAAAAGAAAGCACUAUUCACUUUACAAAUUUUCCACAAAUGAAUAGUGAAAAUACUGUGCAUAAAUAGUAACAAACUAUUCAUGUGGACCAUCCACGCACUAUUUACAAC
rnacentral:lncRNA from 1 species